AGAUUUAUUAACCAUAUGUCUUCUACUAAAACCUAAGUUGUUAUAACGGCAGGAAGUUUAACUUUCAAGAGCAGUCAAUACUGAACUUUGAAGAGCAUUUAUGAAUAAUAAUGCAUUAGGGAAGGUCAGCUGGGCUUUUGCUCUAAAAAGUUAAGUAGUCCACGCCCUCGCCCUGGAUGUGUUUCCAAAGUAUUCCUUAUCGGCAGGAGGAGGCAAAUGACCCCAGCCGUCGUCUUAAAUGUGCAACUUUGCUUAUCUUCCUGUAUUAAUGAUCCUGCCGCAGUUGUUGUAUUAACCUUAUCACACAGAAUGGCAAUAAGGGAGGCCUAAUGUGCAAGAAAGAGGAAAAACAUUCCUUCUAAUCUCAGGGACCUUCUUCUAACCCUAGCAAUUUUCUGACUGUCAAGCAGAGUGAAAAAUGAAAGUUGGGCUUUUACAGAGUUUUUGUAAAAAUCACAAAGAAGCUAAAUGUUUUCAAAUGGGUGACUCACUAAACAUCAUACAGUGUGAAGAGAACCCAGAUUAGAUUAUCCUCUGAGCGGCCAGUCCUGGCUGUGUGGGCUCCGCUAAGGAGUCCUGACAAGGAGACGGGAGGAGGUGGCUCUUGAGAAAGCCACUCCUCCUUCAGAGCUCUGAACUGCUCAUGGGUGGAUCGGCAGAACCCUGUCCCUGGAAAGCUUUCUUUUUCUUCUGUUCUCUCUCUUUUUAAAGAUUUGCUUAUUUAUUUUAUGUAUAGGAGUACUCUGUCUUCGUGCAUCCCAUUACAGAUGGUUGUGAGCCACCAUGUGGUUGCUGGGUAUUGAACUCAGGACCUCUGGAAGAGCAACCAGUGCUCUUAACUGCUGAGCCAUCUCUCCAGCCCCAGAGACUCCUUUUUUAUACAGUCUCUGUCCACAUGGAGGAGGUUCCAAGUCUCCCUCUUUUAAUUCCUUUUUAACUUUGACAACAAAAGAACCUUGACCCCCAAGACUCCUCUAUCUCAGGAUACUUGAGAAACCAACUAACUUUAAGAUUGAAAUUAGUAUAUUUUUUUCGGCUGCAAAUGCUUGCCCUCGUCACACACAGCGGUGGGGUGACCUCGCCCCCUUCCACUUCCCAUGCCAGAUUUAGCCUGAACCAUCUCACCACAGGCUUAGAGUCUGGAGAGCACAAGCCAGCAGAUGAUGCUCUGGGCAUAGACUGCAGGGUAUCAACGCGCCACGCUGCCCGACAGCGACCCCGUCCGUCCACCCGUGGCCUCGCACCGCAGGUCAGCUUCAAGUGACCUGGCUCAGCAGCUUGGGGACCUACAUCUCCCCACGCGCGACCCAGAACCUGGACGCACGCGAUUCUUUCCCAGGGACGAAAGUUCCGCUCCUGGGCCCAACCGGGUCAGGCAAGAGAGGAAGGUUAGCGUAUUGGGCUCCGGUCUGGAAGGUUCCAGGCUCCUGGGAAUAAGCGCACAGCGCAGCGUGGGGUCAGCUAAGGCUGGAGCUGAUGGAGCCAUGUGCACUCUCUCGGAGGGCGGCGGUCUGAAGAACAAAGGCCCACGUGCCUCCCCCACCCACGCCCGGCACGUGUGCGGUGGCUUUGUUUGGUCCUCACUGUCUGGGUGCGGGACGCUGGCGGUGCCGGAGGCAGGUGGGCCAUGGUAAAUCGCUCUCCACCCGCCCACUCCAAAUGGCUUCCUCCCAUCCCCCACUCAGUUCCGCAGAGCAGUUGCUAUGGGUUACCAGGGCGGUUGCCAUGGGUUACCCAACCGAGGAAGCGGGAGCAUGCGUGGGAUGGCAGGAGCUUGAGGGCUGCUGAGCCGAGGCCCACGGGGGUGGGGGACUGAGCUAUAAAGAAGGUCCAGGUAAGAGUCGAAAUCCACGCGCUAUGACACUCAGAGCCUGCUGGCUUCUGCAGCAUCUCUACUUCUCUUUUGCUUAAAGCAGAGUGGAUUCCGCACAAAUUUUUGUAGCUUAGUGUUCUUCUCUCCCUCUUUUCUAAUCUAUCUUUUGAAAAUAAGUCUUUGGAAUUUUGAAGGAAAAGGGUCAUGAACUACCAGAGUUUUUGCUGCUAAAAUAAAUUAAUGUCCAGUGCACUAUUUUUAACAAGGACCUAGAAGUUUCCAGCAAGAGGGAAAGGGUUUGACUUAAGGGCUGACAGUGGUGACUGGACUGUAAAACGCGUCCAGCCAAGAACAAAGCCCUGAACCCAUUGUGAAUGUAUCAAACUCCAAAGGAAUUGUUUCUUUACAUGCUAAAUUAUUUUUAGCUCCAUUUAUUAAAAUGUCUGCAUUUCUUGCCUUGACUUGCAAAGAAAACUGUAUCUAUGCCUUUAAUGAAUGUCAAGUUGCCACAACUAAGUUCAGACAUUUUACGUUUAAAAAUGUGUUCAUAGCAAAUUAAGAAAUGGUUUUCUUCAGAAACAAAACUGUAUUGAAAUAAAUGCUUUCUCGGUGGAAAGGACGGCGUUGUACUCAUCCGGCACCAGCUAACUAAUUUAAAUAUUUUUUAAAAAGACAAUUUAGAAACAGAAUAAGCCUUCUUAAUUUUUGUACUUAAAAAAAAAAAUUAGGCCUUUCAUGAAAAUGGCUCAAUCCUGAAAACCUUAUUGUACACAUUUAACUUGAUAAUAAACCCUUAAAGAAGCAACAAAAUAAAGAAGCUGGGCUCAAGACAACAUCCAGCUGCCACUGUUGGCUAGAACAUGGAUAAACUAAAUAAAUUUGAUUAAGUGCUAAUGUCAUGUAAGAAGUUUUAUGCGUUUACUUCUCCAUGUUGCUAAUAACUUGUUUGUAUUUGUUGUUAAAUAUAAUUUGAAGUAGACCUGAAGAGCUCUGGCAAAAUAUAUUUAGUAUCUUAAGGAAUGGCAAAUGAUUGAAGACAAACAUUUGUGGUUUCCCCUAGUGUUUUUUUUUUAACUGAAAUUUUUAACUAGAAUGAAAAUCACUUUGUAGCAAAGGAGACUUUAAGUCUUAAGUAACAGGUUGUUGACUUUCACUGCCAACACCUUCAGCUACGUAUAAAGUCAACUCUAAAACAAAAUACAAAGGAUUAUGACCUUUCAGGUGCUGUACCUGCAGAAAAAUCCAGAAAAAUCGAGUUUUGCUGACUGUAAACCAUAAGACAUACAGAACUACGAUUCUUAAAGCUUAAUUCACAUUUAAAAUAACACUAAAUGUAUCCUCUGCUUAGUUACAUGUUAAAUGCUUAGCUACUUGUUUUCCUACAGACAUGAGAGCAUAAAACAAAGCCCUAUUGGAAAUGGAACUAUCUAGACCCCAAAAAGUCAGUUUGAAGACGCUUGCUGGGGCUCAGCUGUUUUGACAGCCAAAGCAGAGCAAAUACAACGCAGGGAGCCUCAAACCAAGUCUGACCAGAGCUCUUCAAUGAGAAAUUACCAGUAAUUACAAAAAAAAAAAAAAAAAAAAAAAAAAAAAAAAAUCACAGACCUUAGGUCUGAGUUAGAGGAAAUAUAUUCUCCUAUGUAAAGUAAGAAAUCGAACAAAGUUUUGUUUUGCUUUGCUUUCAUGUUUAAUGUGAAAACAGUGACUGUGGAGUUUAUGGAGCAAACAUCACUUCAUAUUAACUUCAAAGGUUAUAUUAUGUCACCAAGAAGUAGCAUGAUAACUGAUGUCACAAUUUAUGCUUUCCAAAAAAACGCCGUUAAAACAUAAAUGAUGUGAAUUCAUCUACACUGCUGAGGAACUUGCUCUGAAACUCUACACACAGCUGCAUAAUCACUUCCUUUUGGCAUUAAAAUAAAGACAAUUAGAGGACACGGUUAACAGGAUCUAAGACAUAAAUCAAAAUAUUUACACAAGUUUGAUAAUGUUUCAGACAGAACUUUAAAAAAUCAUUCUUAUUCCAAAUUGAAUGUUUGGUUUUUUUAACCAAUUCUCUGUAAGAAGGCUCUCAAAGGACAAGUCAAUAACUUUUUAUUAAUACAAUAACUCUUAAGUACCCAAGUAAAUGGCUGCUUUUUGCUGCCGCUUUUGCACCCACGAGAGUGGGAGCCAUUCAUUGGAAGCAACAAGUUAUCCCUCUUAGGUGAAAAUUCCUUCUGCUGGUUCCCAGAGAUACCUAGGAAGACUCUGGGGAACCCUUGGCUAAUUAUCCCAGGAAAACUGCUGCCUCGGCUGAAACUGGAAGCUCAUGGUGGACCCCAAGAUAUCUUAUCUUUGGGACACUUAAAAAAAAAAA